CACGUAGGCGGCGAUCCAAGUCAGGGGUGAAAUCCCGGGGCUCAACCCCGGAACUGCCCUUGAAACUAGAUUGCUAGAAUACUGGAGAGGUGAGUGGAAUUCCGAGUGUAGAGGUGAAAUUCGUAGAUAUUCGGAAGAACACCAGUGGCGAAGGCGACUCACUGGACAGUUAUUGACGCUGAGGUGCGAAAGCGUGGGGAGCAAACA
rnacentral:rRNA from 1 species